UCAGAACAUGGGUGAUAAGGUCCGUGUUCGAAAGGGAAACAGCCCAGACCACCAGCUAAGGUCCCAAAAUAUAUGUUAAGUGGAAAAGGAUGUGGCGUUGCCCAGACAACUAGGAUGUUGGCUUAGAAGCAGCCAUCAUUUAAAGAGUGCGUAAUAGCUCACUAGUCGAGUGACACUGCGCCGAAAAUGUACCGGGGCUAAACAUAUUACCGAAGCUGUGGAUUGUCCUUUGGACAAUGGUAGGAGAGCGUUCUAAGGGCGUUGAAGCAUGAUCGUAAGGACAUGUGGAGCGCUUAGAAGUGAGAAUGCCGGUGUGAGUAGCGAAAGACGGGUGAGAAUCCCGUCCACCGAUUGACUAAGGUUUCCAGAGGAAGGCUCGUCCGCUCUGGGUUAGUCGGGUCCUAAGCUGAGGCCGACAGGCGUAGGCGAUGGAUAACAGGUUGAUAUUCCUGUACCACCUAUAAUCGUUUUAAUCGAUGGGGGGACGCAGUAGGAUAGGCGAAGCGUGCGAUUGGAUUGCACGUCUAAGCAGUAAGGCUGAGUAUUAGGCAAAUCCGGUACUCGUUAAGGCUGAGCUGUGAUGGGGAGAAGACAUUGUGUCUUCGAGUCGUUGAUUUCACACUGCCGAGAAAAGCCUCUAGAUAGAAAAUAGGUGCCCGUACCGCAAACCGACACAGGUAGUCAAGAUGAGAAUUCUAAGGUGAGCGAGCGAACUCUCGUUAAGGAACUCGGCAAAAUGACCCCGUAACUUCGGGAGAAGGGGUGCUCUUUAGGGUUAACGCCCAGAAGAGCCGCAGUGAAUAGGCCCAAGCGACUGUUUAUCAAAAACACAGGUCUCUGCUAAACCGUAAGGUGAUGUAUAGGGGCUGACGCCUGCCCGGUGCUGGAAGGUUAAGAGGAGUGGUUAGCUUCUGCGAAGCUACGAAUCGAAGCCCCAGUAAACGGCGGCCGUAACUAUAACGGUCCUAAGGUAGCGAAAUUCCUUGUCGGGUAAGUUCCGACCCGCACGAAAGGCGUAACGAUUUGGGCACUGUCUCAACGAGAGACUCGGUGAAAUCAUAGUACCUGUGAAGAUGCAGGUUACCCGCGACAGGACGGAAAGACCCCGUGGAGCUUUACUGUAGCCUGAUAUUGAAAUUCGGCACAGCUUGUACAGGAUAGGUAGGAGCCUUUGAAACGUGAGCGCUAGCUUACGUGGAGGCGCUGGUGGG
rnacentral:rRNA from 1 species